rnacentral:rRNA from 1 species
UUGACCUCGAUCAGGUG